rnacentral:rRNA from 1 species
AUGGACCAUUCCAUCCCUUAUUCCCGUGGCUAUGCAUCGGAUUAGGAUGACGAAGGUCCCGAUGAAAAAGUUGAUGAGGAGGGGUUCACGGUGAAGGAGGCCGAAGCUUUCGAGAAGGUAUUCGGGCGGGAUCAUCGGACUACAUUGUUCAAGGAUGUUAGUCUCAGGGAUGAAGCCGUGGUAGAUGGUGGCCAAGGUAUAUCUCUUGGAGUUAGGCCAAGAUCUCACCAUGAUUUGGAAUACGGCAAGAACGGGAUUGCUAAAGGGUCUAAGUUCGAAACCUUCUUGGAAUUGAAAAUGUGUCUCGACAACUACUCGGUUACGCAUUAUCGUCCACACAAGGUGGUGAACUCGGACGUCAAUGUGCGGUACAUGGUUGCAUGUGCAUGUGAAGAUGAAAAAUGUCUGUGGACUGUGCGUGCAAGACCAUGA